rnacentral:rRNA from 1 species
GUGACGCAGCUAACGCAUUAAGUUCCCCGCCUGGGGAGUACGGCCGCAAGGCUAAAACUCAAAGGAAUUGACGGGGACCCGCACAAGCGGCGGAGCAUGCGGAUUAAUUCGAUGCAACGCGAAGAACCUUACCAAGGCUUGACAUAUACGAGAACGCUGCAGAAAUGUAGAACUCUUUGGACACUCGUAAACAGGUGGUGCAUGGUUGUCGUCAGCUCGUGUCGUGAGAUGUUGGGUUAAGUCCCGCAACGAGCGCAACCCUCGUUCUAUGUUGCCAGCACGUAAUGGUGGGAACUCAUGGGAUACUGCCGGGGUCAACUCGGAGGAAGGUGGGGAUGACGUCAAAUCAUCAUGCCCCUUAUGUCUUGGGCUUCACGCAUGCUACAAUGGCCGGUACAAAGGGCUGCAAUACCGUAAGGUGGAGCGAAUCCCAAAAAGCCGGUCCCAGUUCGGAUUGAGGUCUGCAACUCGACCUCAUGAAGUCGGAGUCGCUAGUAAUCG